AUUGAACGCUGGCGGCAGGCCUAACACAUGCAAGUCGAGCGAGCGGCGGACGGGUGAGUAAUGUCUGGGAAACUGCCUGAUGGAGGGGGAUAACUACUGGAAACGGUAGCUAAUACCGCAUACCAUCAGAUGUGCCCAGAUGGGAUUAGCUAGUUGGUGGGGUAACGCCUCACCUAGGCGACGAUCCCUAGCUGGUCUGGGAGGAUGACCAGCCACACGGGAACGGAGACAGGGUCCAGACUCCAACGGGAGGCAGAGGGGGGAAAUAUUGCACAAUGGGGGCAAGCCUGAUGCAGCCAUGCCGCGUGUGUGAAGAGGGCCUUCGGGUUGUAAGGCACUUUCAGCGGGGAGGCGUUACCCGAAGAGGAAGCACCGGCUAACUCCGUGCCAGCAGCCGCGGUAAUAC
rnacentral:rRNA from 1 species